rnacentral:rRNA from 1 species
GACGAACGCUGGCGGCGUGCUUAACACGUGCAAGUCGAACGGAAAGGCCCUGCUUUUGUGGGGUGCUCGAGUGGCGAACGGGUGAGUAACACGUGAGUAACCUGCCUUUGACUUUGGGAUAACUUCAGGAAACUGGGGCUAAUACCGGAUAGGAGCUCCUGCUGCAUGGUGGGGGUUGGAAAGUUUCGGCGGUUGGGGAUGGACUCGCAGCUUAUCAGCUUGUUGGUGGGGUAGUGGCUUACCAAGGCUUUGACGGGUAGCCGGCCUGAGAGGGUGACCGGCCACAGUGGGACUGAGAUGCGGCCCAGACGGCUACGGGAGGCAGCAGUGGGGAAUAGUGCACAAUGGGCGGAGGCCUGAUGCAGCAUCGCCGCGUGCGGGAUGACGGCCUUCGGGUUGUAAGCCGCUUUCGCCUGUGACGAGGCGUGAGUGAGGGUAAUGGAGAAAGAGCACCGGCUAACUACGUG